GAGAAGCCUAAGAAGCUGGUGAUGUGUCC
rnacentral:piRNA from 1 species